rnacentral:lncRNA from 1 species
GAGAACAGGAGUUCAGCAUUAGCAUUCCCAAAUAGAAAAGACAUGGGCCUCGGAGUCAGCUAGGUCUAAAUUCAAAAUGUGAUUCCACAAUUUACGAGCCUGUAGCCUUUUAUCUGUGACCUGUGACUUGGCCUAUCUGAGACUAUAAAAUAAGGACAAUGUUUCCUUUGGGGGUGAGGUGAUAAUUAAAGACAACGUAGGUAAAGAAGAGUCAGUGAGCAAAGGGUGAGAGGCUAGUGGUGGGGAAGAGAGGACUAUGGCUUGACCCUUAGGCAGCAGAUAGCUCCCUGAGUUGAGGGAACGUGAUCAGCUGAGAGGUCCCAGGAGCAUAACCAGCUGGCUGUGAGUAGAGAGAUUAAAAGGGCAGAUUACAUCAAGAGAGACCAGUUAGGAGCCACACAACAAGCCACACCUGAGGCAGUUUGGGCCAACCAAGAUGGCGGCAAUGAGUGAGGCUGCAAGCAUCAGGACAGCAGAGACCAGAUUCAUCAUUGAAUCCUCAACAUCUAGCACAAUAUGCCUGGCAUAAGGUGAAGAGAAGAAGAGUAUGAACUACCACGAAACUCAUUUCCCUCCGUCCUUCAAUCAAACGCAAUGACCUUCAGCUACUCUCACCAUUCUCUACUGAAAACAUCCC